UACGAAGGGGGCGAGCGUUGUUCGGAAUCACUGGGCGUAAAGGGCGCGUAGGCGGCCCUUCUUGUCGCGUGUGAAAGCCCCGGGCUCAACCUGGGAAUGGCGCGCGAGACGGGGGGGCUGGAGUUCGGGAGAGGAGGCGUGGAAUUCCCAGUGUAGAGGUGAAAUUCGUAGAUAUUGGGAAGAACACCGGUGGCGAAGGCGGCGCUCUGGACCGAGACUGACGCUGAGGCGCGAAAGCGUGGGGAGCAAACAGG
rnacentral:rRNA from 1 species